GUUAGGGUGGCAGAGCCCGGAAAUUGCGAAAGGUUUAAAACCUUUUACUCAGAGGUUCAAGUCCUCUCCCUAACA